AUUGAACGCUGGCGGCAGGCCUAACACAUGCAAGUCGAGCGGAUGAAGGGAGCUUGCUCCUGGAUUCAGCGGCGGACGGGUGAGUAAUGCCUAGGAAUCUGCCUGGUAGUGGGUGAUAACGUCCGGAAACGGGCGCUAAUACCGCAUACGUCCUGAGGGAGAAAGUGGGGGAUCUUCGGACCUCACGCUAUCAGAUGAGCCUAGGUCGGAUUAGCUAGUUGGUGGGGUAAAGGCCUACCAAGGCGACGACCCGUAACUGGUCUGAGAGGAUGAUCAGUCACACUGGAACUGAGACACGGUCCAGACUCCUACGGGAGGCAGCAGUGGGGAAUAUUGGACAAUGGGCGAAAGCCUGAUCCAGCCAUGCCGCGUGUGUGAAGAAGGUCUUCGGAUUGUAAAGCACUUUAAGUUGGGAGGAAGGGCAGUAAGUUAAUACCUUGCUGUUUUGACGUUACCAACAGAAUAAGCACCGGCUAACUUCGUG
rnacentral:rRNA from 1 species